CAGUCGCCGCGGUAAUACGUAGGUGGCAAGCGUUGUCCGGAAUUAUUGGGCGUAAAGGGCUCGCAGGCGGUUUCUUAAGCCUGAUGUGAAAGCCCCCGGCUCAACCGGGGAGGGUCAUUGGAAACUGGGAAACUUGAGUGCAGAAGAGGAGAGUGGAAUUCCACGUGUAGCGGUGAAAUGCGUAGAGAUGUGGAGGAACACCAGUGGCGAAGGCGACUCUCUGGUCUGUAACUGACGCUGAGGAGCGAAAGCGUGGGGAGCGAACAGGAUUAGAUACCCCGUAGUCCCUGUCUCUUAUACA
rnacentral:rRNA from 1 species